rnacentral:rRNA from 1 species
GAGAGCUUGCUCUCAAGAAGUUAGCGGCGGACGGGUGAGUAACACGUGGGUAACCUGCCCAUAAGACUGGGAUAACUCCGGGAAACCGGGGCUAAUACCGGAUAACAUUUUGAACCGCAUGGUUCGAAAUUGAAAGGCGGCUUCGGCUGUCACUUAUGGAUGGACCCGCGUCGCAUUAGCUAGUUGGUGAGGUAACGGCUCACCAAGGCAACGAUGCGUAGCCGACCUGAGAGGGUGAUCGGCCACACUGGGACUGAGACACGGCCCAGACUCCUACGGGAGGCAGCAGUAGGGAAUCUUCCGCAAUGGACGAAAGUCUGACGGAGCAACGCCGCGUGAGUGAUGAAGGCUUUCGGGUCGUAAAACUCUGUUGUUAGGGAAGAACAAGUGCUAGUUGAAUAAGCUGGCACCUUGACGGUACCUAACCAGAAAGCCACGGCUAACUACGUGCCAGCAGCCGCGGUAAUACGUAGGUGGCAAGCGUUAUCCGGAAUUAUUGGGCGUAAAGCGCGCGCAGGUGGUUUCUUAAGUCUGAUGUGAAAGCCCACGGCUCAACCGUGGAGGGUCAUUGGAAACUGGGAGACUUGAGUGCAGAAGAGGAAAGUGGAAUUCCAUGUGUAGCGGUGAAAUGCGUAGAGAUAUGGAGGAAC